rnacentral:rRNA from 1 species
UAACAGGAUUCCCCUAGUAACUGCGAGUGAAGCGGGAAAAGCUCAAAUUUAAAAUCUGGCAGCCUUCGGUUGUCCGAGUUGUAGUCUGGAGAAGUGUUUUCCGCGCUGGACCGUGUAUAAGUCCCUUGGAAUAGGGCGUCAUAGAGGGUGAGAAUCCCGUCUUUGACACGGACUACCAGUGCUUUGUGAUGCGCUCUCAAAGAGUCGAGUUGUUUGGGAAUGCAGCUCAAAAUGGGUGGUAAAUUCCAUCUAAAGCUAAAUAUUGGCGAGAGACCGAUAGCGAACAAGUACCGUGAGGGAAAGAUGAAAAGCACUUUGGAAAGAGAGUUAAACAGUACGUGAAAUUGCUGAAAGGGAAACGCUUGAAGUCAGUCGCGUUAUGCAGAACUCAGCCUGGCUUUUGCUUGGUGUAUUUUCUGUAUGACGGGUCAGCAUCAAUUUUGAUCGCUGGAAAAAGGCCUCAGAAAUGUGGCACCUUCGGGUGUGUUAUAGUCUGGGGUCAUAUACAGCGGUUGGGAUUGAGGUCUGCAGCACGCCUUUAUGGCUGGGGUUCGCCCACAUUCGUGCUUAGGAUGCUGGCGUAAUGGCUUUAAAUGACCCGUCUUGAAACACGGACCAAGGAGUCUAACAUGCCUGCGAGUGUUUGGGUGGAAAACCCGAGCGCGUAAUGAAAGUGAAAGUUGAGAUCCCUGUCGUGGGGAGCAUCGACGCCCGGACCAGACCUUUUGUGACGGAUCUGCGGUAGAGCAUGUAUGUUGGGACCCGAAAGAUGGUGAACUAUGCCUGAAUAGGGUGAAGCCAGAGGAAACUCUGGUGGAGGCUCGUAGCGAUUCUGACGUGCAAAUCGAUCGUCAAAUUUGGG